UACGUAGGGGGCAAGCGUUGUCCGGAUUUAUUGGGCGUAAAGAGCGUGUAGGCGGUUCGGUAGGUCCGUUGUGAAAACUCGAGCUCAACCUCGAGACGCCGAUGGAAACCCUCGAACUAGAGUCCGGAAGAGGAGAAUGGAAUUCCUGGUGUAGCGGUGGAAAUGCGCAGAUAUCAGGAAGAACACCCGUGGCUAAGGCGGUUCUCUAGUACGGUACUGACGCUGAGACGCGAAAGCGUGGGGAGCGAACAGG
rnacentral:rRNA from 1 species